GGGGCUUUAGCUUAGUGGGAAAGCAAUGCAGUAUAAUUCGUACCAAGGUGCCUCGCUCCCCCAGACGGGCAUCCAAUGGUCGACCUAGAAUGGUUACUGCAAUAAGAUCGGUGGUUCGAAUCCAUCCGGCUCCU
rfam:Botryotinia fuckeliana BcDW1 unplaced genomic scaffold Scaffold_408, whole genome shotgun sequence.